CGUCUGACUGUGAAGUGGGGGUGCAGGACCUUGUGGCUUCCCCAGGACUUUGCUGGGGCUGAUUCGCUGUGGGAAGCACAGGGGCAGAGGAUGCUGAAUGCUCCAAGGAGAGACCCAGGAGGUGAAGACGCGUGAGCUUCUUGCCCUGAAAAAGUCUGUUCCAAGGGAGAGGAGGCUCCCCAAAGUCCUGAUUGGCUUUGUGGGGAGCAGUUCCAGAGCAUUGCCUGGGGACUCCAUGACACCCGCAUUCCACAGAAGGGAGCGGUUUGAUAACUGCCUGGACACAGACGGUGCAGAGUGGCCGGGUGCAGUUCCUCAGAGCUCUCAGGUGGGCGGGAGUGGGAGCGAAAUCCCUUGGCCUGUUACACAGCUCGGUUCUGUCCCUCCCUCUCGCUCAGUUCCAGGGAACUCGGCAGGUGGCUCAGCAGGUGACCCGGCCAUGAAGGGAAUCCAGAUCCGCACUCAGCCUGUGAGUGACGCACGUUCUGCCCCCUUCACACCAAGGAUUUCACGGCCUCUCAUGGACACGUCCUGAGCGAAUGGGACCCUGCUCACCCCUUCUGCACCCUCAGCAGAUGCCCAGGGGAAGGGGCUCUGGUACAGUCCAGGCCCUGGGGGCUACUCUGUCCCAUGGACCCGUGGUGUCUCCCGGGUCAUGGGAGAGGAAGGCUCCGAGUCUCAGGCCAGGCCCUGCUUGAUUUGACAGGGGGACUCAGGCAGUGCAGCUGAGCCCUUCUCCUGGCCCCUUGGUGGAAUGGCUCCAGUGCGGCUCGACUCCCUUCGAUCCCCUUACACCUGAUCUCACCCCCCUGAACCCGGCCCACGGGCGCUAAGUGACUCCGCUGCCUGCUGUGGUGCUGGCUGAUGGAGCAGGAGCAGGAUGUCUGUACAGCGCCUGGCACAACCCUGAUCUCAGUAGG